rnacentral:rRNA from 1 species
GGUUUGGGAGGGGUUUACGAACUCCGCAUGGUGAAGGAAAGUGCCAAGAAAAGCUGGUAAUGUGAUGAAAGCAUCAUACCCGUACCCGAAACCGACACAGGUAGGGAGGUUGAGAAUACCAAGGGGCGCGAGAUAACUCUCUCUAAGGAACUCGGCAAAAUGGCCCCGUAACUUCGGAAGAAGGGGUGCCCACGAGAGUGGGUCGCAGUGAAGAGAUCCAGGCGACUGUUUACCAAAAACACAGGUCUCCGCUAACUCGAAAGAGGACGUAUGGGGGCUGACGCCUGCCCAGUGCCGGAAGGUUAAGGAAGUUGGUCAGGGGUUCGCCCUGAAGCUGACGACCGAAGCCCCGGUGAACGGCGGCCGUAACUAUAACGGUCCUAAGGUAGCGAAAUUCCUUGUCGGGUAAGUUCCGACCCGCACGAAAGGCGUAACGAUCUGGAUGGUGUCUCAGAGAGAGACUCGGCGAAAUAGGAAUGUCUGUGAAGAUACGGACUGCCUGCACCUGGACAGAAAGACCCUAUGAAGCUUUACUGUAGCCUGGAAUUGUGUUCGGGCUUGGCUUGCGCAGGAUAGGUGGGAAGCACAGAAGUACCCCUUGUGGGGGGUAUGGAGCUAACGGUGAGAUACCACUCUGGCGAAGCUAGAAUUCUAACCUAGCACCCUCAGCGGGUGUAGGAACAGUUUCAGGUGGGCAGUUUGACUGGGGCGGUCGCCUCCUAAAAGGUAACGGAGGCGCGCAAAGGUUCUCUCAGCGCGCUUGGAAACCGUGCGGCGAGUGUAAAGGCAUAAAGAGAGCUUGACUGCAAGAGUGACAACUCAAGCAGGGACGAAAGUCGGCCUUAGUGAUCCGACGGCACAGAAUGGAAUGGCCGUCGCUCAACGGAUAAAAGUUACUCUAGGGAUAACAGGCUGAUCUCCCCCAAGAGUCCACAUCGACGGGGAGGUUUGGCACCUCGAUGUCGGCUCAUCGCAACCUGGGGCGGAAGUACGUCCCAAGGGUUGGGCUGUUCGCCCAUUAAAGCGGUACGUGAGCCGGGUUCAGAACGUCUGAGACAGUUCGGUCCAUAUCCGGUGCAGGCGUAAGAGCAUUGAGAGGAGCCUUCCUUAGUACGAGAGGACCGGGAAGGACGCACCGCUGGUGUACCAGUUAUUCCACCAGGAGUAGACGCUGGGUAGCUAAGUGCGGAGCGGAUAACCGCUGAAAGCAUCUAAGUGGGAAGCCCACCUCAAGAUGAGUGCUCUCACUACUUAAGUAGGUAAGGUCACGGGCAGAACACCCGUUUAUAGGCUCUAAGUGGAAGUACAGCAAUGUAUGUAGCUGAGGAGUCCUAACAGACCGAGGGCUUGAC